CACGUAGGGUGCGAGCGUUGUCCGGAAUUAUUGGGCGUAAAGAGCUCGUAGGCGGUGUGUCGCGUCGGCCGUGAAAACCUGCAGCUUAACUGUGGGCUUGCGGUCGAUACGGGCAUCACUGGAGUUCGGCAGGGGAGACUGGAAUCCUGGUGUAGCGGUGAAAUGCGCAGAUAUCAGGAGGAACACCGGUGGCGAAGGCGGGUCUCUGGGCCGAUACUGACGCUGAGAAGCGAAAGCGUGGGGAGCGAACAGG
rnacentral:rRNA from 1 species